AUCUGCCCAAUCGAGAACUGGCUUUUGUCUGGCGACACGGGGGAAAGAUCUCGUCCCCGUCCCCGUCCCCCGCGUCGCCCCCGUCUGGCGACACGGGGGAAAGACCUCGCCGCUGCUCGAAGCCGUGCCGCGCCCGAGGAUGGUGACGGCGGGGCGGCCUCGUCCUCCUCCCCCCCGCCAGAUCCCCGCCAAUCCUCGAUCUGGCCGGGGCCUCCUCCACCAUCGCCCCCCUCCCGCGCCCCUACCGGUGGGCCAGCCGGCGAGGCUGCGGCGCGCCCGGAGCUGGUACCGGUGAGGUCUCGCCCCGCCCCCCGUCAUGCCAGAGCGCCACCACCACCACCUCUUGGAUCUGAUCUGGCGCUCUGUGGUCGUGCACCUCCUCCAACUGCUGCGGUUCGUCUGCCCGUCUGAUGCGGCGGCGCGGCCACGCCCGUGAUCCUCCUCCCCGACCUGUCUCUUCUCCCCGUUUUGGUGGAGAAGGACGUUGCUUUUGGGCGUAGGUGGCUGGGCUGGCUGGGAUUUGGUCCUGCCCCGGAGCAGACCACCCUUCGUCUCCGACGGCGCCUCCUCCGAUCGGCGGUGUCGACCUCUGCGCGUGUUUGGUCAUGGUGGUCUCUCUUGGCAGUCGGUCAGAGCUCUGCGGUGGAUCCCCGUCGACAUCACUCCGGUCCUGACGGCCAUGAACCUGCGUUCUCCGGUGUCCGUGGCCUGUCAGCGCUAUGCCGGUGUGGAUUUUCGGCCUCGACGCUCCGGUAGCUGCGUCCCUUCCGGCUACUUUGGCUUGUCGGUGUUCCGGCGGCCACGUCCCUCGCAGCCCGGAUCUGCGUCCCCUUCCGGUUCCUGGCUUGCUAGCGGCGUCGGCCACCACCAUCUCCCCGCAUCGGCUCUUUGUCUGCUGCCUUCCCGACCCCGUCCACCAACACGCCACGCCGGCUCCAAAGCUUGCGUUUUUCGGUGGUGGCAGGUGCAACCUCACCUUGCUCCCUUCUGUGGUGGCGGUCGUCUAGCGUGUUGACUUCUUCAUCUUCGGAUCCUCAUCUGGACGCAAUGGGAUUGCACGAACUAAGCCCAGGAGAAAUUCUUGCUCGGCUUGCCGAUGCUGGCAGCGGCGGCACUUGUGGAUGUUGUUUCCCUUCCUGAAGACACUGUCAUGGCCUUUAUCCGUGCCCCUCUUCGAGUAUCGGGGGAAACCCUAGAUCCGGUUCUCCGGAUCGGAUAGCGGCAACGUAACGAUGUUGUUCCCCUUCUUGAAGGCGCUAUCUUGCUAACUCGCGGCGUCCCCGGUGUUGGAUUUGAAGAUGUUUGACGCCUUGCUAGUUUGGCUUGCCUCCUUAGUUCUAGGCUUGGUGGGUUUAGUUGUGUCUUUUUCCUGUUCGGGUUGAGCAUCCCUUGUCUCUCUGCUCUGGGUUCCAUGCUCAUUCCUUCUUGCGUUCAUGUCAUGUUUUGUAACCCUCCUCUGUACUCAAUUCUCUUUCUUCUAUCAAUGAAAUGAUACACAAGCUUUGCGUAUUCGCGAAAAA
rnacentral:rRNA from 1 species